GUACACUCCUGCGGGAGGCAGCAGUGGGGAAUUUUGGACAAUGGGCGAAAGCCUGAUCCAGCAAUGCCGCGUGAGUGAAGAAGGCCUUCGGGUUGUAAAGAUCUUUUGUCAGGGAAGAAACGGUGAAAGCUAAUAUCUUUUGCUAAUGACGGUACCUGAAGAAUAAGCACCGGCUAACUACGUGCCAGCAGCCGCGGUAAUACGUAGGGUGCAAGCGUUAAUCGGAAUUACUGGGCGUAAAGCGUGCGCAGGCGGUUUUGUAAGUCUGAUGUGAAAUCCCCGGGCUCAACCUGGGAAUUGCAUUGGAGACUGCAAGGCUAGAAUCUGGCAGAGGGGGGUAGAAUUCCACGUGUAGCAGUGAAAUGCGUAGAUAUGUGGAGGAACACCGAUGGCGAAGGCAGCCCCCUGGGUCAAGAUUGACGCUCAUGCACGAAAGCGUGGGGAGCAAACAGGAUUAGAUACCCCGGUAGUCCCAUGAU
rnacentral:rRNA from 1 species